GGGGGUGUCCCGGUUUCGACGUGGGUCACGAAACCUCAGGAGCAUGCCGAGGUGCCGAGUUCCUCGUAAAUCCAGCGGCAAAACACAUAGUUGCCAACGACGACAACUACGCUCUCGCGGCUUAAUCCCCGCGAGCCUCUCGCCCGGCUGAGCCCGUAGGUUGGGGUCGAGGGGUCACCUUUACGGGACCGCGCCGUUCUGUGUCUGUUAGCACGGCGUUAAAUCCAAGCAGGCUGAGCCGUCCGUGCAUCCUGUCUGCCGGAGACCGGACGGUUAAAUAAAUGGCGGGCUACGCAUGUAGAACCGGAGAUGUAGGGCUUGCGGACGCGGGUUCGAUUCCCGCCACCUCCACCA
rnacentral:tmRNA from 1 species